rnacentral:lncRNA from 1 species
AUUUUAAUAUAAAAUAAAUUGCAUUUGCAAUUUAUUAAGAUUCUCUUCCUGGGCUAAUACUCUUCAUCUGUAGCAUCCUUCAUAACUGAUCUUUAUGCACAGCUUUAUUUAAUCAACAACCUGGCCAACUGGAAGAGAAGAAAUGGAAAAGUGUUUGUGAUUGUAAUUGUGUAUCUCUGAACAUUAUUUUCAUAGACUUAUUUGCUCAUUUUUUCUGCUUAGGUCUCAUGCCCUGGACCUCCUGAAUUCACAGUUUUCACAAUAUACAUGACCUUUGCAUCAUCAAGAAGCAGCUUUCCCAUCAAGACUCCUCAAGCGUGGAAAUGACAGCCCCAGUAAAAAGAACUUCCCAACUGAUUCUCAUGUGAACACUUUUAACCUGGGAAUGGCAGUAAUUCCUAACCUGUGAUCCUUUUGGCUGAGGUUCCUGCUGUUUUAACAGGAAUUUGGUGGAGCACAAAUUUUAAGGUUAAAUCUACCACAUCAACUGCAGCGAUCACAAACCGUAGUGCCUGAGGCCAGCUGUGAAUGCCACUGCAGCAAAGCUGUCACCACUGCUUAUCCAGACUGUGCAGAGGGAAAGCCUGCUUGGGAUGUGCAGCUCAGACAGUCUAAGUUGUCUUCUUGGCUUUAAUCUAUUUAAUUUUUCACAGUAAAAAUAUACAGUAGUCAUGAUCUCAUAUCUGAGUAGAAGGAAUGUGUAUUUUCACUCCAUUAAAAUAAAGGUAUGCAUGAAGUGCA